rnacentral:rRNA from 1 species
AAGCCUGAUGCAGCCAUGCCGCGUGUAUGAAGAAGGCCUUCGGGUUGUAAAGUACUUUCAGCAGUGAGGAAGUGGGUAUGUUAAUAGCAUAUUCAGUUUGACGUUAGCUGCAGAAGAAGCACCGGCUAACUCCGUGCCAGCAGCCGCGGUAAUACGGAGGGUGCGAGCGUUAAUCGGAAUUACUGGGCGUAAAGCGCAUGCAGGUGGUUUGUUAAGUCAGAUGUGAAAGCCCGGGGCUCAACCUCGGAAUUGCAUUUGAAACUGGCAAACUAGAGUACUGUAGAGGGGGUAGAAUUUCAGGUGUAGCGGUGAAAUGCGUAGAGAUCUGAAGGAAUACCGGUGGCGAAGGCGGCCCCCCUGGACAGAUACUGACACUCAGAUGCGAAAGCGUGGGGAGCAAACAGGAUUAGAUACCCUGGUAG